ACAUUAACAAGUACAUCGACCUCGAAUUGCUUUAAAAUAAACUCAUUUUUCUAUACAUACUCUACACUUACAAUAGCACGACGAAUUAGGAUUUAUUUACCAUAAUUCUUUUCCUAAUCUCAAACUAUAUCGAACUUGCUGCAGCAACGUAAAAUGUAAUAUUCCUCCUAUUUAUUAUGCCAACCCCUGCUCUCUAUUCAAGCCUUCAUUCUAAUCACCUCUAUAAAAAUCCAUCUUUAUACUAGAACCAGCCAUCAAAGCGAUUCAGCGUAUUCUUUCGGUGCCCCCUCCCUGAAAUGAAUCUACGUGUCGAAGAGGAUCUGCGACAAGAAGUCAAGACAACCCGAUUAUCCCAUGCACGCUUCUCGGCGUGUAGUCUCGGUGUCUGGAGACCGGAGCUCGCGCAUGUGCCAACAGAGUGUACAUGCCGGUGGAGAGCGGCAAACCCAUCCACUCGACCAAGUCAAAGUCUCUUCUCUUCCUCUAAUUUUUCUUCUUCCUUUUCCUCUUUGCAGUACCUCGAUCUUCUUUUCCGCCCUUCAUCCUCUUCUUCUUCCUCUUCUUCCUGUUGGUUCUCUGCAACGUCCCAUGCCUUGGCGGCGAGUGGGCGUCGGACGGCAAUUAGCAUACUCGCGUGAUCAAAGCAGUGGGACACGUGCGACAAGAAUUAACGACCACCAGCAGAACGACUCUUUCUUCACGGAGUGCGCGCGCGAUAAAUCGCGCUUCCGAUGCCUUCGUCGACACCCGCCAUGCCGCCCACACGCGUGGCCCCUCCCGUCGUGGUUUGUCCACGAGCACGCGGCGCCCUCUGCCCACUGUUUUCUCAUCCAUUUCGCCAACGGACCCAACGAUCCGCCUUUGGCUUUCGGUGAUCGUUUCGCACAGGUUAUAUAUAGGCGGGCGCAUUCUUUAUCAGGCCAUUGCCGGAUGAAUUUAUACGGGAUAAUCCAGUGCUCGUUUCCGCUUCAACCACUUAUGAAUUAUGUCUUCUCAGAAAGUAAUACGUAUUUGGCUCUUUUUGGAGGUGUAUAGGUAGAUUAGAAGUGAAGGAUGUGUUUGAUAGCAAUAGAUAUAAGACAAGCAUGCCACUUCACACGAAGGUUCUAAGUGCCAUACAAAGAGAAAGAAACCAUCGUAGAAAGUAAUUCCCCUCGAGGAAAUUCGACUAUUGACCCCGAAACACUCGAGUGGCCUUUAGCCGGCAGGAAGUCUAACGGAAUCGCGAUCCCUAAAGCGAAUCGAACGGAAGGUACACAGGCGCAAGAUGGAUUCGCAGCACGAUUUUAAUAUUGCCACUUAUCUCGAAUUCCCUGUUACACGGGAGUAGCAUUUUCUGGUAUCUCUAAUACAUACUUGUUUCGUUGGUACGGGAUUCACGGUAAUUCUUAUGGUCUCUUCUGUAACCACCUACUCACGGAAAAGAAUGCCAUUGACAGAGUGUAUAGAGAGUGUAGAAGCGUGAUUUGCUGUGCAGACACGCGUGGUUGCUCGUAAUCAGCUGCAACAUUGUAUGAUGAUCAGCCAACGGGUGUUUGUAUUACGAUAGUUUCCGCAUCCUCCUUUCAUGAGUUCUAUUCUUUCACGAUUGAGGGCGCGACAGUUUUACUGUUCGUUUUUAUUGACAAAAUUUUCUUGCUUGCUGAUAUGGUCUAAUAAUUAAUAAAUUACGAUUUGAUUAUUGAAUUGUAAGAAGCGAAGUGAGAGCGAAGGAAGUGAAAUUCAUAGAAUUUUCAGAUUUAAUCAAACAUCGAUAGUAAAUUUUCAAUUUCAUUGUAAACUAUUAAUUAAGAAAUUAGAAGUCGAUUAGUAAAUAUGUGUAGGGUCUAAUGUGACGAAAGAAUAAGUGAAGUAGAAUUUCAAAGUCUAAUAAGAAAUCAAUGAUAAGUGUUAUUUUCAAUUUCAUCAAUUCAAUUAAAUCAUUUAUCAAACUCAUUGGCACAGACUCCUACCUUAUUUACUGUCAAUUUUGUGGAAUAUAACCUCUAAUUUGUAAAAUUUGCAUAUAUUAUUUCAUUUGUUUUAUUGCCAAACUUGCUAUUAUUAUGCAUUGUUAGUAAAGUUUCACUGAUAAUAUUAGCUCAGUUCUGCAAGAUGGUUCAGUUGAGCGACAAAGAAUAAAAAGGAAAGCAAAUAAAAUCUUAACACCAUA